GAUGAACGCUGGCGGCGUGCUUAACACAUGCAAGUCGAGCGAAGCACUCGGAAGUUUUCGGACAGAAGAGUGACUGAGCGGCGGACGGGUGAGUAACGCGUGGGUAACCUGCCUCAUACAGGGGGAUAACAGUUAGAAAUGACUGCUAAUACCGCAUAAGCGCACAGAACCGCAUGGUUCGGUGUGAAAAACUCCGGUGGUAUGAGAUGGACCCGCGUCUGAUUAGGUAGUUGGUGGGGUAACGGCCCACCAAGGCGACGAUCAGUAGCCGGUCUGAGAGGAUGAACGGCCACAUUGGGACUGAGAUACGGCCCAG
rnacentral:rRNA from 1 species